rfam:Myotis brandtii contig161615, whole genome shotgun sequence.
GGAGGAGGGAGGGUGUCCUUCAGCCUGGAUUGUGAGAGGGCACAGGCCAGGCCAAGGGACACCACCAGUGCAUG